rnacentral:ncRNA from 1 species
CGCCGGGGACGACCCCGGCGCAUGUCGCGAACCGGCGGGGACGGCCCUG